GACGAACGCUGGCGGCGUGCUUAACACAUGCAAGUCGAACGGAAAGGCCCUGCUUGCAGGGUACUCGAGUGGCGAACGGGUGAGUAACACGUGGGUGAUCUGCCCUGCACUUCGGGAUAAGCCUGGGAAACUGGGUCUAAUACCGGAUAGGAGCCAUUUUUAGUGUGAUGGUUGGAAAGUUUUUUCGGUGUAGUAUGAGCUCGCGGCCUAUCAGCUUGUUGGUGGGGUAAUGGCCUACCAAGGCGGCGACGGGUAGCCGGCCUGAGAGGGUGGACGGCCACAUUGGGACUGAGAUACGGCCCAGACUCCUACGGGAGGCAGCAGUGGGGAAUAUUGCACAAUGGGCGCAAGCCUGAUGCAGCGACGCCGCGUGGGGGAUGACGGCCUUCGGGUUGUAAACUCCUUUCGCUAGGGACGAAGCUUUUUGCGACGGUACCUAGAUAAGAAGCACCGGCUAACUACGUG
rnacentral:rRNA from 1 species